rnacentral:rRNA from 1 species
UACGCCCGAUCUCGUCCGAUCUCGGAAGCUAAACAGGGUCGGGCCUGGUUAGUACUUGGAUGGGAGACCGCCUGGGAAUACCAGGUGCUGUAAGCUU